CCAAUUCCAGCUUCUUCCCUAACCUGGAGAAAGAGAGAUUACUGAAGCUAGGUUGCAUUGCUACAACGGAAGGCUAAACAAGGUGAGUAAACAAAAAUUGAGGAAUGAAAAAUCAUCACUGUGGCUGUUAAUUAGAAACUUGUUUACAAGUUUGUAGGAAAAUGAUAAAGAUGUCAUGGGUAAUUUCGGAAUAUAGAUCUGUCAUAAAAAGCAAAUCUCCAAAACGCAAUUUCAAUUGCCGCAGAAGCUACAAGUUCCAGCUUUGAGUAAACGUGAGUUUGAGGCCUAAACCACGUUCAAGUGAAUCACUUCUGUAGUUUGCCAAACACCAGAAAAAAAUGUGAAACCGCGUUUGAAUUUAUAAACGCACGUUUGAAGCCACAAAACGUGGAACCAAAC
rnacentral:lncRNA from 1 species